CAUUUCUCACAUAUAUGGCAAUACAUCCAAGUGGAUAUAGCAAUCUAUUCCACUAACACUGAAAAGGAUAUAUUUUAGUGUUCACUUUUAAAUGUACUCCUUCAGAGCUUUCUGACCAUACUAUGUAAAGUGCAUCACCUGGACAUUUCACUCCAGAGAAGAUGACAGUACUUCAGUCUUUUCAAAACAUCUCUGAAUUAUGUCAAGAAACAGUUCUGGUUCUGCUCAGUUAUGUUUUUCAGUCUCAUGGAUGAUAUCUAGUUGGUCUAUGAAUGCUGAUGAAAUAGAAAAGUGCAGUGUAUACCAUAAUUGCAGACAUUUGGAUCAGCACAUACAAUAACUGUUCUCAGAAUAUCUCCGAGAUUCACACUCCGCAAAACACUGCCGCUCUCUUGUAAACACAACUAACUCAAGGAAGAAUGUAUAAACUCUCCCUUCACUCAGCUUUGCCCUUCUUCUCUCUUUAGUAGAAGAAGAAUCUCCACUUAAUGCAGCUAUAUCUUUGGUGACUACACAUCUGCAGCCUUUCAAGAGACAGUUGUUCUCUCUGAGGCUCUUUUAGGUCUAAAAAAACACAGACUAUGAGCCAAAUCCUAUCUAAAUUGAAGCUUUCAUAUGAAGGUGGAAAAAGGUAUUCACCUGAUUCCCAGCAAUGAUAUUUCUAUAAUCUCUCUCUCAUUCUAGGAGCAGAACAUUCCUGCUGCAAUGCUGCCUCCAAGUCACCCCAACACAUGCCAAGCAAUUAUCACAUCCCAUUUCUGGAGGUUCCAGAGGCUUUCAGAAUUAUCCAGGAGGGUCAUGUGCUACAAAAGAUGUAGUCUACAGGCAUACAAUGACUGCUUUAAUGCAUUUCCCAUUAAAGCAAAAUUGAAAAGAAGAUUUUUGAAGUUUCCAUUAAAAUCUCUGAAGUCUCCUG